rnacentral:ncRNA from 1 species
CCGGAACGUUUACUUUGAAAAAAUUAGAGUGUUCAAAGCAGGCUCUCGAGCCUGGAUAAUGGUGCAUGGAAUAAUGGAAUAGGACCUCGGUUCUAUUUUGUUGGUUUUCGGAGCGCGAGGUAAUGAUUAAGAGGGACAGACGGGGGCAUUCGUACUGUGCCGUUAGAGGUGAAAUUCUUGGAUCGGCGCAAGACGAACGACUGCGAAAGCAUUUGCCAAGAAUGUUUUCUUUAAUCAAGAGCGAAAGUCAGAGGUUCGAAGACGAUCAGAUACCGUCCUAGUUCUGACUAUAAACGAUGCCAACUAGCGAUCGGGGGGCGUUACAUUGACGACCCCUCCGGCAGCUUACGGGAAACCAAAGUCUUUGGGUUCCGGGGGAAGUAUGGUUGCAAAGCUGAAACUUAAAGGAAUUGACGGAAGGGCACCACCAGGAGUGGAGCCUGCGGCUUAAUUUGACUCAACACGGGAAAUCUCACCCGGCCCGGACACAGUGAGGAUUGACAGAUUGAGAGCUCUUUCUUGAUUCUGUGGGUGGUGGUGCAUGGCCGUUCUUAGUUGGUGGAGCGAUUUGUCUGGUUAAUUCCGAUAACGAACGAGACUCUGGCUUGCUAAAUAGUUACGCGACCAUCCCGGUCGGCGUUUAACUUCUUAGAGGGACAAGUGGCGUUUAGCCACACGAGAUUGAGCAAUAGCAGGUCUGUGAUGCCCUUAGAUGUUCGGGGCCGCACGCGCGCUACACUGACCGGAUCAGCGUGUGCUCUCCUUGGCCGACAGGUCCGGGAAACCCGUUGAACCCCGGUCGUGCUAGGGAUAGGGAAUUGCAAUUAUUUCCCUUGAACGAGGAAUUCCCAGUAAGCGCGAGUCAUUAGCUCGCGUUGAUUACG